UGAAUAAUGGAAAGCGGCGGACGGGUGAGUAACGCGUGGGCAACCUGCCUUUCACAGAGGGAUAGCCAAAGGAAACUUUGAUUAAAACCUCAUAAAGCCGAAAUGUUGCAUAGCAAGACGGCCAAAGAUUUAUCGGUGAAAGAUGGGCCCGCGUCUGAUUAGUUAGUUGGUGGGGUAACGGCUCACCAAGGCGACGAUCAGUAGCCGACCUGAGAGGGUGAUCGGCCACAUUGGAACUGAGACACGGUCCAAACUCCUACGGGAGGCAGCAGUGGGGAAUAUUGCACAAUGGGCGCAAGCCUGAUGCAGCAACGCCGCGUGAACGAAGAAGGCCUUCGGGUCGUAAAGUUCUGUCCAUAGGGAAGAAACAAAUGACGGUACCUGUGGAGGAAGCCCCGGCUAAAUACGUGCCAGCAGCCGCGGUAAUACGUAUGGGGCAAGCGUUAUCCGGAAUUAUUGGGCGUAAAGAGUGCGUAGGUGGUGGCUUAAGCGCAGGGUUUAAGGCAAUAGCUUAACUAUUGUUCGCCUUGCGAACUGGGUCACUUGAGUACAGGAGAGGAAAGCGGAAUUCCUAGUGUAGCGGUGAAAUGCAUAGAUAUUAGGGG
rnacentral:rRNA from 1 species